GAUGAACGCUGGCGGUGCGCCUAAUACAUGCAAGUCGAACGAUAAACUUGGAUUUAUUCAAGUCGAAAGUGGCGGACGAGCGAGUAACACGUAAGAACCUGCCCUAUACUCAGGGACAACCUGCCGAAAGGUGGGCUAAUACCGGAUAGUCUCGAAAGAGUAAAGCUUUUGCGGUAUAGGAGGGGCUUGCGGCCUAUCAGCUAGUUGGUAAGGUAAAGGCUUACCAAGGCUACGACAGGUAACUGGUGUGAGAGCAUGACCAGUCGCGAUGGAACUGAGACACGGUCCAU
rnacentral:rRNA from 1 species